rnacentral:lncRNA from 10 species
CAGAGAGCCUACGACUAGAUUUGCAUCUUUACGUCCUGCGCGGAGGCUGCUACACACAUGCAGAAGUCAUGCUGGUGGCCUGGACAUUGAAGGGAGAGAAGUGGAUUUGGGAGACAUUUAGGAGAUGGCACCGAAAGCGAAGGAAGCUCCUGCUCCUCCUAAAGCCGAAGCCAAAGCGAAGGCUUUAAAGGCCAAGAAGGCAGUGUUGAAAGGUGUCCGCAGCCACACGCAAAAAAGAGGAUCCGCAUGUCACUCACCUUCAGGCGGCCCAAGACACUGUGACUCCGGAGGCAGCCCAGAUAGCCUCAGAAGAGCACCCCCAGGAGAAACAAGCUUGGCCACUAUGCUAUCAUCAAGUUUCCGCUGACCACUGAGUCGGCCGUGAAGAAGAUAGAAGAAAACAACACGCUUGUGUUCACUGUGGAUGUUAAAGCCAACAAGCACCAGAUCAGACAGGCUGUGAAGAAGCUCUAUGACAGUGAUGUGGCCAAGGUCACCACCCUGAUUUGUCCUGAUAAAGAGAAGAAGGCAUAUGUUCGACUUGCUCCUGAUUAUGAUGCUUUCGAUGUUGUAACAAAAUUGGGAUCACCUAAACUGAGUCCAGCUGGCUAACUCU